CACGGAGUGUGGGGACUCCAGGGCUGAUCUGUUUGAGGAGAUACUUGAUCGCACCAGAAGUGACGUGAAGGUGAAAAGCAGGAUUUGUGUGGUUAUGAUGCAUUUAAGGACGCGCGGAAUUGCAGUCACGGCUUCUAUACGCACACUGACCACAUUCUUCUUUGUAUCUGGGUCCAUCAAAAAACUGAGGCUUCACUGCUGUGUGUGAGAAUGGCGGCAGCAGCCGCCAGCAGGGUGGCCUCUGUCCCCUUGCGUCACGACCACAAAGCACCGAUUCAUCUGCCUGAACACACACUAGAGCAGUUGUGAAAGUUUGUGUGUGUAUAUUUGUGUAAGCGCUCCUCGCGUUUGCUUACUUUAAGCUGACAUUCUCUGUUCUGAGUGUUCAUCAGGGAAACCUGAGACAGGUAUUAUUUUUAUUUGUUAUGAAGGCACAAAAAAGGCUGUUGAGUGGAGUUGAUACCUGGGUAAAGUGAUGCUAAAUAUUUAUUUAGGUUUGAAGCUUGCAACAUCAGUGGCAUAUUUCAGUUUGAAAACCCCGAUUCCACUAUUUUAAAACUCAAUGAGCAAAUCAUUUAAGUGACUCUUUGUAGGUGAUUUACUGCAAUACAUGUACAUGAAGACUGUCAUUAGUAUAGUUAAGUUGCCCUCUUGCCAUGAUUUUUCUGUUGAUUGGCUAGUCAGUCUAUAAACUCAUCAUAUUGCCUGUCAUUCUCUCUCAUGAGUCUACAUCUGAAGUUGUUACUACCUAUA